GACAGAGGUGCCGAGCGUUAGGCGGAAUCACUGGGCUUAAAGCGUGUGUAGGCGGACUUCUAAGUACCUUGUGAAAUCCCACGGCUCAACCGUGGAACUGCUUGGUAUACUGGUUGUCUUGAGCCACUUAGGGGCAGUCGGAACAGACGGUGGAGCGGUGAAAUGCGUAGAUAUCGUCUGGAACGCCAAAGGUGAAGACAGUCUGCUGGGGACUUGCUGACGCUGAGACACGAAAGCCAGGGGAGCGAACGGG
rnacentral:rRNA from 1 species